rnacentral:rRNA from 1 species
AGUGAACGCUGGCGGUAGGCCUAACACAUGCAAGUCGAACGGCAGCACAGUAAGAGCUUGCUCUUACGGGUGGCGAGUGGCGGACGGGUGAGGAAUACAUCGGAAUCUACUUUUUCGUGGGGGAUAACGUAGGGAAACUUACGCUAAUACCGCAUACGACCUACGGGUGAAAGCAGGGGAUCUUCGGACCUUGCGCGAUUGAAUGAGCCGAUGUCGGAUUAGCUAGUUGGCGGGGUAAAGGCCCACCAAGGCGACGAUCCGUAGCUGGUCUGAGAGGAUGAUCAGCCACACUGGAACUGAGACACGGUCCAGACUCCUACGGGAGGAAGCAGUGGGGAAUAUUGGACAAUGGGCGCAAGCCUGAUACAGCCAUACCGCGUGGGUGAAGAAGGACUUCGGGUUGUAAAGCCCUUUUGUUGGGAAAGAAAAGCAGCAGGUUAAUACCCCGCUGUUCUGACGGUACCCAAAGAAUAAGCACCGGCUAACUUCGUG